rnacentral:misc_RNA from 1 species
UUGAUUCAUUUUUGUUUUGCUCGCUACGGAGCCACUCAGAAUGUAACCGCUGUGAGAAACAGGAGAGUUUUGGUCCUCCGGCGGGCGCACGUUGCAUCCGGGGCUGGCCGUGAGACCGCGCCCGGGGCGACCCCGCCGAGGCAACAGAAGUAGGUAUGUUCACAUUGGGGUUUGGGAGUUGUAAACUCGGUAAUGAUCCCUCCGCUGGUUCACCAACGGAGA